UACAGAGGGUGCGAGCGUUUGUCCGGAAUCACUGGGCGUAAAGGGCGCGUAGGCGGUUUGGCAAGUCUAUGGUGAAAGCUCGCCGCUCAACGGCGAGUCGGCCACGGAUACUGCUGAACUCGAGCACUGUAGAGGCAGGUGGAAUUCCGGGUGUAGCGGUGGAAUGCGUAGAGGUCCGGAAGAACAUCGGUGGCGGAAGGCGGCCUGCUGGGCAGUACGCUGACGCUGAGGCGCGACA
rnacentral:rRNA from 1 species